rnacentral:misc_RNA from 1 species
GUGAAUCAUCGAAUUUUUGAACGCAAAUUGCACUCUCUCCGGAGAGUAUGCCUGUUUGAGGGUAAUUAAAAAGAAUCUUUAACCAAUUUUUUUUUGUCAACGGAAAUGAGCUCUCCGCGUUUGUAGCUGUAGCUUGAACUAAAUGUUCAAGUCUCAUUUUAGUCGAGACGCGUAAUAAUAUUAUUUCGCGAAAUCUUCAUUAUUUGACUAUCAAGUUUUGAUUCAUACAAAUUUGCUUUUUAUUCUCUCAAUACCACUUUUUUGAACAUUACCUCAAC